rnacentral:lncRNA from 1 species
CGCACGUGCUUAGCGCCCGGAACGACACACCUUGUGGUUAGAGAGCAGAUUUUGAGUCGUGGGUGUUUUGCCACAGUGAAAACGCUCGGCUGAGUUCGCGUGCUGCCGUGCGGGUCCCAACACCGUCGCGCACCUGUCGGGAGCCGUGGAACACACACCGCGGGGUUUCCGUGCUGCAAACAUUACUUGACAAAACCUACCAUGACUAGUCAAGAAAAAGACCACGGAAAAAAGGAACUGCGGAGGAAGGCUUCACCCCUGCCUCUGGGGGAGGACAGACAAGCCACAGUGCCUGAGCCCGCAGCCCAGGACCUGGGAGGAAGUGGAAGGAGGCACCAGCUGGGGCUGGAGCCUGCCUGCCAGAGUGACCACCACACAUGUCCGGACGUGGCCUGCCUUGUCCACACGGGCCAGCAGGCUGCGUGCACACACACACGCCUGGGGCCACCCCCAGCAGCACGGAAAGGAGGAGGCCAGCUGAAGCAUGAGUCCAGAGAGCCUUGGGCGCCAACUCGCGUCCCCCGGGUGCUGCGGACCACACAGGACUCGGCCAGCGCAAAUCUCGUCCUUCAUGCACGAGCAGAACUUUGGGCCAGUCUGGACUUUCCUUGGAACCCCUGGCACUAGCCCCAGCACCCAGCAUGGGGGACUCUCUCCCUGGCUGUCUUUUCCUGGUCCAUUAAAGGGAGGACCCCCAGGGCCUGGGGCACACAGGCUCAUCAGCUCUGUGCUGUGUGGGUGCCAGGGGCUGGCAGGGAGAGGCCAGAGCAAGCCUAACCUGAAAUUAUUGCCCGUGUUGCCUGCGUCUCUCCCAGCCUGACCUGUUGUUGGGUGGAGUUCACGCCCUGGCAGUGACUCUCGUGUCUGCUUGGCUGGGCUGGUUGUCACCCCUGGGCUUGCCCUGCCCCCGUGGGCCACUGCUGUGGUGUGCUGUGAAAGCAGCGCCCCACCAGGGGCUGAAGUGGGGGUGCG